rnacentral:rRNA from 1 species
GUGCAGCAGUCGCGAAUAAUUCACAAUGGGGGAAACCCUGAUGGUGCAACGCCGCGUGGAGGAUGAAGGUCUUCGGAUUGUAAACUCCUGUCAUCCGGGAGUAAGACCUGGGCGUGAAUAGCGCACAGGGUUGAUAGUACCGGAAGAGGAAGGGACGGCUAACUUCGUGCCAGCAGCCGCGGUAAUACGAAGGUCCCAAGCGUUGUUCGGAAUCACUGGGCGUAAAGGGAGCGUAGGCGGCGCGGUAAGUCAGAUGUGAAAUCCCGGGGCUCAACCUCGGAACUGCAUCCGAUACUGCCGUGCUUGAGUGUUGGAGAGGUGACUGGAAUUCUCGGUGUAGCAGUGAAAUGCGUGGAUAUCGAGAGGAACACUCGUGGCGAAGGCGAGUCACUGGACAACUACUGACGCUGAGGCUCGAAGGCCAGGGGAGCGAAAGGGAUUAGAUACCCCCGUAGUCC